UACGGAGGAUGCAAGCGUUAUCCGGAUUUAUCGGGUUUAAAGGGUGCGUAGGCUGUCAGGAAAGUCAGGGGUGAAAUACCUGAGCUUAACUCAGGAACUGCCUUUGAUACUUCCUGACUGGAAUACUGUUGCCGUGGGAGGAAUGAGUAGUGUAGCGGUGAAAUGCAUAGAUAUUACUCAGAACACCGAUUGCGAAGGCAUCUCACGAAGCAGCUAUUGACGCUGAGGCACGAAAGCGUGGGGAUCAAACAGGAUUAGAUACCCUGGUAGUCCACGCAGUAAACGAUGAUGACUAACCGUCGGCGAUACACAGUCGGUGGCCAAGCGAAAGCGAUAAGUCAUCCACCUGGGGAGUACGACCGCAAGGUUGAAACUCAAAUGAAUUGACGGGG
rnacentral:rRNA from 1 species